UGGGGAAUUUUGGACAAUGGGCGAAAGCCUGAUCCAGCAAUGCCGCGUGUGUGAAGAAGGCCUUCGGGUUGUAAAGCACUUUUGUCCGGAAAGAAAUCCUUGGCUCUAAUACAGUCGGGGGAUGACGGUACCGGAAGAAUAAGCACCGGCUAACUACGUGCCAGCAGCCGCGGUAAUACGUAAGGUGCAAGCGUUAAUCGGAAUUACUGGGCGUAAAGCGUGCGCAGGCGGUUUGCUAAGACCGAUGUGAAAUCCCCGGGCUCAACCUGGGAACUGCAUUGGUGACUGGCAGGCUAGAGUAUGGCAGAGGGGGGUAGAAUUCCACGUGUAGCAGUGAAAUGCGUAGAGAUGUGGAGGAAUACCGAUGGCGAAGGCAGCCCCCUGGGCCAAUACUGACGCUCAUGCACGAAAGCGUGGGGAGCAAACAGGAUUAGAUACCCUGGUAGUCCACGCCCUAAACGAUGUCAACUAGUUGUUGGGGAUUCAUUUCCUUAGUAACGUAGCUAACGCGUGAAGUUGACCGCCUGGGGAGUACGGUCGCAAGAUUAAAACUCAAAGGAAUUGACGGGGUCAUAGCUGUUUCCU
rnacentral:rRNA from 1 species